rnacentral:rRNA from 1 species
AGAACGAACGCUGGCGGCAUGCCUAAUACAUGCAAGUCGAACGAAGGCUUCGGCCUUAGUGGCGCACGGGUGCGUAACGCGUGGGAAUCUGCCCCUUGGUUCGGAAUAACAGUUGGAAACGACUGCUAAUACCGGAUGAUGACGAAAGUCCAAAGAUUUAUCGCCAAGGGGAUGAGCCCGCGUAGGAUUAGCUAGUUGGUGAGGUAAAGGCUCACCAAGGCGACGAUCCUUAGCUGGUCUGAGAGGAUGAUCAGCCACACUGGGACUGAGACACGGCCCAGACUCCUACGGGAGGCAGCAGGUAGGGAAUAUUGGACAAU